AGAUUGUUCAUCUAUGGGGGAGGGUCAGAUUCCCUGGAGUCAGAAAAAAAAGAUCUUCAGGCCUCUCUCCAAGAUGAAAAUGUAGGCACACACGGCAUUUGGCACUCGAUUUGGAAAGAUGCCCAGCCCUGAGGCUCAUCUGGGCAAGAGCACAAGCAGGUGGAGCUGGGUGGAGGGGGGGGUGGAGGUUGCUGGGAGACCCUGGGCUCAGGCAGCUCUGCCUGUGGGCCCCGGGGAAAGAGGCAAGGCCAGGCCAGGGAUCCCGGGCCUCCUCCUUCCCCAGGAAUCCAGCUCCUCUCUCCAGCUCAUCUAUGCAAGCACCCAGAUGAAGGCACCUUCUGCACGAAUGGCAGCUUUGUCUCCAAGAUUCCGUCAGUGUGGGUGGUGGUGUCGGGAAGAGCUGUGAGCAAGCCAAGGCGGCUGUGAUGACAGAUGAGGCUGUGAGCACACGUGGGACGUUUUAAAAUACUCUCAGAGACGCCUCCAUGGUGGCGCCCAACUAGAAACCGGAGGGCAAGGACCUUGCUGAGGCAGCACAGAGUGGGCAGCCCUCAGGACGGAAGGCCAGGAGGGCACCCAAGGAAGACUAGACGCUGGCUGCCACGCUGGGAUGUGGACCAGCAAGGCCAAUGAUGCUGUUUUUCAAUGGAACUUGGAAAUCUGGAUUUUUACACACCAUCUUUGCAUUUGUGAAUGCUGGCAACUCACUGAAGAUAUUUUUCAAGCACUGUCUGGGCCCAGGCAACACGUGUCUGGGAGCUGCUGGUUUGACGUCUCCGAGCCAACAUCAGGAGGGGAAUCCAGAGCACUUGCCGGUAGAAGGGCAGCCCCUUCAAAGGGCCAGGCACUGAACCUCCCAGCAGCCAGACUCACUUCUUUGGGUCCACAAUGCCCCCUCCUCCCAGUGACACACUUGGCACCUUGGGGCGUACAAAGAUGGCUAAGAUCCAGUUCCCCCCUAAAGACUCUCACAGCCGAGGGAGGGCAGUGGUAAGAAACUCGCCAUCCAGAACACGCUCAGGAGAGCUGGGACGGGCGUGAAAACCACAGAGGACAUGGGAGCAGAGUGGAGGCUCCAACAACCCGCCUGGGGCUGAAGCAAGGCUUCGAGAUGGAAGUCACAGCCAGGGGAGUGUGAGAACCAGGCCCGGGGGGGGAAAGAACAGAAUCUGUGUGAAACAAAUGCAAGAAGUGUGGGCAAUCGGGUGUAUCAAGUACAGGGGCGACAUGGCCCAAGGAGAGGAUGGUGGGGGGUCACAGAAGCCACACGGAGACACGCAGACCUGAUUCUGAUUCAGGAGCAAAGAUGAGCCACUGAGGGGUUUUAAGUAGAAAAACGGGACAAUGAAUUCUGCAUUUUGGCAGGGAUAAAGUCAGACCUCCUCAUGGACGUGAUACUGUCCCUCCCAAAGUGGCCCUGACACUGACCCUGUGCCCCCUCUGCUCCCUCCACCAGGAUGCCCCUUCCUCCCAUGGCCGCUCCCCACCCACUCCUGCCAGCUGGAAGGCAGCGGACACUUCGUGGUUGGAUGGUGAAUGAACACACGAAGGAAGGAAUGAAGACCCACCUUUCUGUACCGAGCAGGAGGCACCCACCCCCCCCCAGGAGUCCCAGAGCACCAGUUCCCCUCCCUUAGGGCCCUGAUAGCACUGGCCUUGUCUCCUUUUCAGGACCAUAAAUUGUCCAAACAAACACCAGGCCUGGCACAGCUGGAUGGCCCCCAGCCCAGAGGGAAUGGACUUUUAUUAAAUUUCUUCUCCGCGCCAGGGACUUUAUGUGCCUUGAAUCAUCUCACAACAGAGUGGGGUAUGAGUCAUCAUCACAACACCUUGGAGGAAGAAGUAGGUGUCUGUGCACAAAGUGACUCACCCACGGCUGAGAAGACCAGGACGCGGAAGUCUGAGCCGCCAAAGAACAGGUGCACCUUCUACUGGCCCAGGUUACCUUGCAAGGCAGCUUUGCCACUUGCUUUCUGACAGCAUGAAAAAGAUGCCUUAAUGAGAGUAUUAAACAAAACAGUGUGGAGCGCCAGCAACUGGGUGCCCAGGAGCGCUUUCAGGAGAGGUCACUGGGGUUGAGUGGUGAUGGGUGAGGGAGGAUCACCAGGGGAAGAAAGGAGUGCCUUUGCGGAAGGCAAGGAAGAUUUGGAUGGGGCUUUGAGUGGCACGAAGAACUGGGAUAGCCAGUCAGACCUGGGCACUCCACAGCUACUUAGCAUCUUCGGUGUGCCGGGCACUGCGCUGGGUCCUGGGGCUGUGGCAGUGGACUUGCCCUCAGGAAGGGGACCUCUGGGGGGAGGCAGCCAAAGAACACAGCAAGGAAAUAAAUGAUAGGGUACAUGAGCCAGUGGUCAGUGCUGUGCAAAAAAAGCAGGGAAGGGAGAGAAGUGUUGGGAGGUCUCUCUGGGGAGGAGACACUCGCACAGGGACCCGAAGGAGGUGAGAGAAGGAUCUGAGUGCAGAUCUGCGGGAGGAGCGUCCAGACAUAGGGAGCAGCCAGAGAAGCUGGACUCACACCUGCCCACACAGGGGCCGUGGUGCAGGUGUAGAGGACCAAAGAGCAAGGAAGCUGUGCUGGGACUGAGUGAGGAGAGAGAGGACGUGAGGGCAGAAAGCUAACCCGGAAGGAGGGGGUGGCAUGUGGGCGUGGUGAGGACCUGCGUCUUACCCUGCUCACCACAGAGAAGGGACAAGAUGUGACUUAGGUUUUUAAUGGGAUCCCUGUGGCUAUGAGUGGGGGAAAGACGAAGGGGGGACCAGGGCAGGAACCGGAAGAUGUGACUGCCAUGACCCAGACCACAGGUGGCAGCACUCUGACCAGGGUAUUCCUAGUUUCUCAAAACUGGGACAGCCCAGAUGUCCAUCAACAGGGGAACGGAGGGCACCUGGGUGGCUCAGUUGUUAAGCAUCUGCCUUUGGCUCAGGUCAUGAUCCUAGGGUCCUGGGACUGAGUCCCAUGUCGGGCUCCUUGCUCGGUGGGGAGUCUGCUUCUCCCUCUGCCUCUGAGCACCCCCCCCCCACCACCACUUGUGCUCUCACUCUCUCUCUCAAAUAAAUAAAAUCUUUUUUUUUAAAGAUUUUAUUUAUUUAUUUGAGAGAGCGAGAAUGAGAGAGAGAGAGAGAGAGCGCACAUGAGCGGGGGGAGGGUCAGAGGGAGAAGCAGACUCCCUGCCGAGCAGGGAGCCCGAUGCGGGACUCGAUCCCGGGACUCCAGGAUCAUGACCUGAGCCGAAGGCAGUCGCUUAACCAACUGAGCCACCCAGGCGCCCAAAUAAAUAAAAUCUUAAAAAAAAAAAAAAAAAACAAAACAGGAGACCGGAUAAACUUUUUUUGUAAACAUAAAAAGGAUUACCACACAGUGAGAACAAUAAAGGAGCUGCUGCUGAUGCAACAAUGUGGAGAAAGCUCACAGUAAUUAUACUAAGUAAAAGCAGCCAGACAAAAGCAAAGAGUACCUGUGGAGUGAUUCCAUUAUAUAAAAGAUGGGAAAAUGCAAACUAACCCAUAGUGACAGAAAGCAGACCAGCAGUAGCCUGGGGAUGGGGGGUGGGCAGGGGGCAGGGAGCAAGGAAAGCAAUGGGAGAUUCUGGAGAAAUUCUGGAGGGAGAGCUGAUGGAAUCUGUGACAGAUUGGAUGGGGGUGUGAGAAGAGCUGCAAAUGACCCUAUAGGGGCCAAGGGCAGGUGGCCCUAAAAUACGCCACUUUGGCAUAUUGAUUUUUUUUUAAGAUUUUAUUUAGAGAGAGAGAGCGAGCGAGCGAGCAUGAGCACAAGUGGGGGAGGGGCAGAAGGAGGGGGAGAAGCAGACUUCCUGCUCAGCAGGGAGCCCAGCUCUGGGCUCAAUCCCAGGACCCCGAGAUCACGACCUAAGCCAAAGUCAGAUGCUUAGCUGACUGAGCCACCCAGGCGCCCCUUGAUUUUAUUUUUAUUUUGGGGGGUGCAGAGGGAGAGGAAGGGAGAGAAUCCUAAGCAGGCAACACGGGACUCGAUCCAACGACCCUGAGAUCAUGAUGUGAGCCAAAAUCAGGAGUCAGACAUUUAAUUGACUGAUCCACCCAGGCGCCCCUGGCAUAUUGAUUUUAAAGUUACUUAAGAAUCGGCCUGUGUAAGAGGGACACUCAGCCCCUCCCCUGCCCCCUGAAAGCAGAAAAUAAAUGUCCCAUGUGAAAGGUGCCCUCCCUGUACCAAGAGGUAAAGACACAUCCUUAUUAUCACCAGAUAUAGGGAAUUCAGGACCAAGAAGGCCGUUUAAACAAUGCUUGUUACUUUUUAUUAAUUUACUACCCCACAGCAAAUU
rnacentral:lncRNA from 1 species